rnacentral:tRNA from 1 species
AGGCCCAUAGCCAAGCGGUAAGGCAACGGACUUUGACUCCGUCACCGUAGGUUCAAAUCCUGCUGGGCCUGCCA